rnacentral:rRNA from 1 species
AGUGAACGCUGGCGGCAGGCCUAACACAUGCAAGUCGAACGGACCCUUCGGGGUUAGUGGCGGACGGGUGAGUAACACGUGGGAACGUGCCUUUAGGUUCGGAAUAGCUCCUGGAAACGGGUGGUAAUGCCGAAUGUGCCCUUCGGGGGAAAGAUUUAUCGCCUUUAGAGCGGCCCGCGUCUGAUUAGCUAGUUGGUGAGGUAAAGGCUCACCAAGGCGACGAUCAGUAGCUGGUCUGAGAGGAUGACCAGCCACAUUGGGACUGAGACACGGCCCAAACUCCUACGGGAGGCAGCAGUGGGGAAUCUUGCGCAAUGGGCGAAAGCCUGACGCAGCCAUGCCGCGUGGAUGAUGAAGGUCUUAGGAUUGUAAAAUCCUUUCACCGGUGAAGAUAAUGACUGUAGCCGGAGAAGAAGCCCCGGCUAACUUCGUGCCAGCAGCCGCCGUAACAC